rnacentral:tRNA from 1 species
GCACCCAUAGCUCAGCGGUAGAGCGCGCGGUUCACAUCCGUGAGGUCAACAGUUCGAAUCUGUUUGGGUGCACCA